AGUGAACGCUGGCGGCAGGCCUAACACAUGCAAGUCGAGCGGCAGCGCGGGGCAACCUGGCGGCGAGCGGCGGACGGGUGAGGAAUGCAUCGGAAUCUACCCUGUCGUGGGGAUAACGUAGGGAAACUUACGCUAAUACCGCAUACGACCGAGAGGUGAAAGUGGGGGACCUUCGGGCCUCACGCGAUUGGAUGAGCCGAUGCCGGAUUAGCUAGUUGGUGGGGUAAAGGCCCACCAAGGCGACGAUCCGUAGCUGGUCUGAGAGGAUGAUCAGCCACAUUGGGACUGAGACACGGCCCAAACUCCUACGGGAGGCAGCAGUGGGAAUAUUGGACAAUGGGCGCAAGCCUGAUCCAGCCAUGCCGCGUGUGUGAAGAAGGCC
rnacentral:rRNA from 1 species